AACGCAUAUUGCACUCUUUGGUAUUCCGAAGAGUAUGCCUGUUUGAGGGUCAUUUGAAAAUUAAUCUAGACUUUUUUUUUAGUCUUGGAAUAAUGAGUUUUCCGUUACCGAUAUUUGGUGAUGGUCACUCGAAAUUGAUGCUAUGGUCUUGGCUUGUAACAGACGCGUUUAUGUUUAUUUAAAUGUUCGCAACUAAUCAAGUCUUGAUGUGUUUUAGCAUGUUCAAUUUCCCCUUUUGAAAGAGGAUGAAAUCGAACAAAAUUCAUUAUAAUCGUGACCUCAAAUCAGGUAAGAGUACCCGCUGAACUUAA
rnacentral:misc_RNA from 1 species